GACGAACGCUGGCGGCGUGCCUAACACAUGCAAGUCGAACGGAGUUGCCCUUCGGGGUAGCUUAGUGGCGGACGGGUGAGUAACGCGUGAGGAACCUGCCUUGGAGUGGGGAAUAACAGUUAGAAAUGACUGCUAAUACCGCAUAAUGCAUUUGAGUCGCAUGGCUCUGAAUGCCAAAGAUUUAUCGCUCUAAGAUGGCCUCGCGUCUGAUUAGCUAGUUGGUAGGGUAACGGCCUACCAAGGCGACGAUCAGUAGCCGGACUGAGAGGAUGAACGGCCACAUUGGGACUGAGAUACGGCCCAGACUCCUACGGGAGGCAGCAGUGGGGAAUAUUGGGCAAUGGGGGAAACCCUGACCCAGCAACGCCGCGUGAAGGAAGAAGGCCUUCGGGUUGUAAACUUCUUUUACCAGGGACGAAUAUUGACGGUACCUGGAGAAAAGCAACGGCUAACUACGUG
rnacentral:rRNA from 1 species